UGGAUCCAGACUUUGAUUCUGGCUCAGGAUGAACGCUAGCUACAGGCUUAACACAUGCAAGUCGAGGGGAAACGACAUCGAAAGCUUGCUUUUGAUGGGCGUCGACCGGCGCACGGGUGAGUAACGCGUAUCCAACCUGCCCACCACUUGGGGAUAACCUUGCGAAAGUAAGACUAAUACCCAAUGAUAUCUCUAGAAGACAUCUGAAAGAGAUUAAAGAUUUAUCGGUGAUGGAUGGGGAUGCGUCUGAUUAGCUUGUUGGCGGGGUAACGGCCCACCAAGGCGACGAUCAGUAGGGGUUCUGAGAGGAAGGUCCCCCACAUUGGAACUGAGACACGGUCCAAACUCCUACGGGAGGCAGCAGUGAGGAAUAUUGGUCAAUGGGCGAGAGCCUGAACCAGCCGAGUAGCGUGCAGGAUGACGGCCCUAUGGGUUGUAAACUGCUUUUAUAAGGGAAUAAAGUGAGUCUCGUGAGACUUUUUGCAUGUACCUUAUGAAUAAGGACCGGCUAAUUCCGUGCCAGCAGCCGCGGUAAUACGGAAGGUCCGGGCGUUAUCCGGAUUUAUUGGGUUUAAAGGGAGCGUAGGCCGGAGAUUAAGCGUGUUGUGAAAUGUAGACGCUCAACGUCUGCACUGCAGCGCGAACUGGUUUCCUUGAGUACGCACAAAGUGGGCGGAAUUCGUGGUGUAGCGGUGAAAUGCUUAGAUAUCACGAAGAACUCCGAUUGCGAAGGCAGCUCACUGGAGCGCAACUGACGCUGAAGCUCGAAAGUGCGGGUAUCGAACAGGAUUAGAUACCCUGGUAGUCCGCACGGUAAACGAUGGAUGCCCGCUGUUGGUCUGAAUAGGUCAGCGGCCAAGCGAAAGCAUUAAGCAUCCCACCUGGGGAGUACGCCGGCAACGGUGCAACUCAAAGGAAUUGACGGA
rnacentral:rRNA from 2 species